rnacentral:rRNA from 1 species
UAGGGAAUCUUCGGCAAUGGGGGCAACCCUGACCGAGCAACGCCGCGUGAGUGAAGAAGGUUUUCGGAUCGUAAAGCUCUGUUGUAAGAGAAGAACGUGUGUGAGAGUGGAAAGUUCACACAGUGACGGUAACUUACCAGAAAGGGACGGCUAACUACGUGCCCGG